GUCUUGUUCCCUUCUUUCACCCAUGGAUAAGCAGUGAGAAGCUAUGAUGGGUUUUAAGUUCUUGGUUAUCUUUGGAUAACAAAACAAAAAGAGGGUUUCACCCAGUCCAAAAAUGGCUUCUGUGACUGAUGAAGUUCAGUUGUUGUUGGAAUGAUGGAAAAUGUUUCAAGAGCAGGCAGUACCCAGGCUCUGGUCAUCACUGAGAGGUGUGCAGCCCUGGAGUAAACACAUGUUUAGAAUAGAAACAAAAGAGUAGUCCCUGCCCUAAAGGCACUUCCACAUUUGGAUAAAGUCGGU
rnacentral:lncRNA from 1 species